rnacentral:rRNA from 1 species
ACGUUAGCGGCGGACGGGUGAGUAACACGUGGGUAACCUACCUAUAAGACUGGGAUAACUUCGGGAAACCGGAGCUAAUGCCGGAUAAUAUUUCGAACCGCAUGGUUCGAUAGUGAAAGAUGGUUUUGCUAUCACUUAUAGAUGGACCCGCGCCGUAUUAGCUAGUUGGUAAGGUAACGGCUUACCAAGGCGACGAUACGUAGCCGACCUGAGAGGGUGAUCGGCCACACUGGAACUGAGACACGGUCCAGACUCCUACGGGAGGCAGCAGCC